UGACCCCGUGCGGGAGAGUCCUCCGGUGGAGAAUCCGGAGGCGCCGAAGGAGCAACUCCUCCCCGGAAUCUCUCAGGCCCCCGUACCGCACGGACGAG
rfam:Streptomyces griseus subsp. griseus NBRC 13350 DNA, complete genome.